ensembl:lncRNA
UUGGGUGAAGGCUGCUUUCUGAAGUGGAGUGCUUUCUUGCUAGAAACCCUCACCACCACUUGGUCUCUUUCAGUCUGCCUCUCCUUCAAAUGGGCAUGAUAAACUGGUAAUGGACAGAAGUGACAAUCUCAUGAAGUUUCUAUUCAACAUUCCCCAAUUUCUAUACAUGAAGACAGAGCUAACCUUCCUGAGGAUUUAGAUGCAGCCUGAAUGGUAUUGGAGACAGUAUUGGGUCUAGGAUUUGAGUUAUAGCCAGGAUGUCUGCUGCAAUGACUGCAGGUAUUGCAACUGACUGAGGAAAACCAAGGAACAGACGAGGAAGAGCCAAAAGGAUCCCUGGCUUGAAGCUUAACCUUUUUUGACUUCACAAGGAGGAUGCCUUUGCUAUUUAAUUGGAAAGAAUGCUUGGUUUGGUUCUGCUUCUGACAACUGAUUUGUUGUGAGCAAAGGGUCUCUUACAGCUGGAGCCAUUUUCAUAAAAUGAAGGUAGCUCUGGCAGUUUAAAUCCUUACGUGGAAGCUGAAUUAAUUCAACUGGGAUUCAACUUAAAGUUAACAACACUGAGAGCAAAAAUAAACUUUAGUUUAUUUAUAAGCUGUACCAGUAACUCAGCUGUCUCAAGAGAUCAGAGACAAAAAUACUGCAGCAUUUGUCCAGUUGAUUAACUUGCUUUUAUUCAAAACUGCCCUGAUUUGUCAUUAAAGCACAGAAAUAACUAUUUCAGUGACAGUUUCUUGGGGGAGUUAAGUAAACUUUGUGAUGUGUGCUUGUAAUCAACUUCCUUAUGUCUAGAGCAAUACAUUCUAAAUAAGUAAUUGAAGAUUAUGUUCCACAUUUUGAAAGUAUUAGUUUUGCAGGAGCUGAUCAUCAUCAGUGUCUUGUUUUACUUUUCAUGUUUGUCUUAUUUGCUUAAGCAAUGACCAUUUUGGAACCAGAUUGUGUUAUUUCUGCUUCAUUUGCUUAUGUCAUUGCUCUUUUGGAAGUCUAUUUAAAAAUUAUUCUGAACACAACUGUUUUGUUACUUAUCAGGUUGUAGUAUGUGUUGCUCUGUUUCUGUUCUAUUUUUUUCUUGAAUCAUGACAAUGCAUU